GCUGGGAUAGCACAGUUGGUAGAGCACGAAACUCUUAAUCUCAGGGUCCCGGGUUUGAGCCCCACCUUGCA
rnacentral:tRNA from 1 species